rnacentral:rRNA from 1 species
GCGGCGUGCUUAAUACAUGCAAGUUGUGCGAGAAAGUUUCCUUCGGAGAAGUGAGUACAGCGGCGAACGGGUGAGUAACACGUAAGCAAUCUGCCUCAUAGAUCGGGACAAGCCUGCUAACGCGGGGCUAAUACCGGAUGGUAAACACUGUUCGCAUGGAUAGUGUUUUAAAUGGGGUAAUCCGCUAUGAGAUGAGCUUGCGGACCAUUAGUUUGUUGGCAGGGUAACGGCCUACCAAGCCUACGAUCAGUAGCUGGUUUGAGAGGAUGAUCAGCCACACUGGGACUGAGACACGGCCCAGACUCCUACGGGAGGCAGCAGUGGGGAAUCUUAGACAAUGGGGGCAACCCUGAUCUAGCCAUGCCGCGUGAGUGACGAAGGCCCUAGGGUCGUAAAGCUCUUUCACCAGGGAAGAUAAUGACGGUACCUGGAGAAGAAACCCCGGCUAACUCCGUGCCAGCAGCCGCGGUAAUACGGAGGGGGUUAGCGUUGUUCGGAAUUACUGGGCGUAAAGCGCGCGUAGGCGGACUGUUAAGUCAGGGGUGAAAUCCCGGGGCUCAACCCCGGAACUGCCCUUGAUACUGGCAGUCUCGAGUUCGAGAGAGGUGAGUGGAACUCCGAGUGUAGAGGUGAAAUUCGUAGAUAUUCGGAAGAACACCAGUGGCGAAGGCGGCUCACUGGCUCGAUACUGACGCUGAGGUGCGAAAGUGUGGGGAGCAAACAGGAUUAGAUA